UACAACUUUCAACAACGGAUCUCUUGGCUCUCGCAUCGAUGAASAACGCAYCGAAAUGCGAUAACUAAUGUGAAUUGCARAAUUCARUGAAUCAUCGAGUCUUUGAACGCACCUUGCGCCCUUUGGUAUUCCGAAGGGCAUGCCUGUUUGAGUGUCAGU
rnacentral:rRNA from 1 species